rnacentral:rRNA from 1 species
AUUAUAAAUUUAAUUAUUAUUAUUGAUUUUUUAAAGUAUUAUUUUAUUUAUUAUUAUAAAAGAAAAAUUAAUUUUUUAUUAUAGUUUACUAGUAAAGUGAUUGAAUUUAUUUAUAUAUUAAUAAGAAAAAUUUAUUUUUUGUACCUUGUGUAUCAGGGUUGAUUAAUUUUAUAAUUAUUAUUAAUUUUUCUCGAAUUAAGAAGAGCUAAUUAUGUAUAUGUUUAAUUUUUUCAUAAAUUUUCAUAAUAUAUAAUUUGAAAUGAAAUGUUAUUCGUUUCUUAAUAUAUCUAGUUUUUUAAGAAAAGAAUUUAAUUCUCUUAUUAUUUAUUAUUAGUUAAUUUUUAGUUAAUAAUUUUUAGUAUGAAAUAAAUAAAGGGAUAAGCUUUUAUUUUAAUAAUUAAAAAUUUAUUUGAUUUUAUUUUUUGUAUAAUUUAAAUUGUUAAUCAUUUUUAUAAUAUAAUAGUUAAUUUUAUUUAAUUAAUGAUUUAUAUUUAUUUUAAUUUUUUUAUUAAAAAUUUAUGUUUAAUUUUUUAGCUUUUUUAUAAUGAUUAAAUUAGUAGAUAAAUAUGUAUUUUAUUAUUUAUUUUUAAGAUAAUAAAAAGGAACUCGGCAAAUAAAUUUUUCGCCUGUUUAUUAAAAACAUGUCUUUUUGAUUAUAAUUUAAGGUUUAAUCUGCUCAAUGAUUUAUUAAAUUGCCGCAGUAUUUUGACUGUGCAAAGGUAGCAUAAUAAUUAGCUUUUUUAUUGAGAGCUGGAAUGAAUGAUUGGACGAAAAAAUUUCUGUCUCUUUAUUAUUUAUUAUUUAAUUUUACUUUUAAGUUAAAAGGCUUAAAUUUUUUUAAAAGACGAGAAGACCCUAUAGAGUUUUAUUUUUAUUUUUUGAUUAAUUUUUAGAAUUUAAAAUAUUUUAUAAAAUAAAAAAUUUAGUUGGGGUGACUGAAAGAUUAAUUAAACUCUUUUAAUUGAAAUCAUUUAUUUAUGAAUAGAGAAAUUAUUUUUAUAAAUUUAAAAUAAAUUACCUUAGGGAUAACAGCGUUAUUUUUCUUUAGAGUUCUUAUUGAAAGGAAAGAUUGCGACCUCGAUGUUGGAUUAAAAUUUAUUUUUGGUGUAGAAGCUUAAAUAUUAAGUCUGUUCGACUUUUAAAAUUUUACAUGAUCUGAGUUUAAACCGGUGUAAGCCAGGUUGGUUUCUAUCUUUAAAUUUUUAAUAUAUUUUAGUACGAAAGGACCAAAUAUAUAAUAUAUUAUUUUAUUUUGAAUAAUAUU